UACGUAGGUGGCAAGCGUUGUCCGGAGUUACUGGGCGUAAAGCGCUUGUAGGCGGUCCACCAAGUUUGGGGUGACAGUUGCCGACUUAAUCGGCAAAGUGCCUCAAAGACUGGCGGACUUGAGGGCCACAGAGGGACAUGGAACUCCAGGUGUAGUGGUGAAAUGCGUAGAUAUCUGGAAGAACACCAAAGGCGAAGGCAGUGUCCUGGGUGGUCGCUGACGCUGAGAGGCGAAAGCCAGGGGAGCGAACGGG
rnacentral:rRNA from 1 species